AGGCUCGCUGUACUCGCGCACCCACCAUGGCCUCCCGCAGCGCGGGCACCCUACUGACCGAGUUCAAUGCCGCCUACGUGCCCCCUGGACUCAUGCCCGGGUACCAGGGCCACGUCCCCACUGUGGCCUUCUCCUUUGGCGCUCCCUACGGCACCACCACCCUCAAGUACUUCCAGGACCACCGCAACAGAGCCAUGGAGAAGAGCCACACUCCCUUCAGCCAAGGCGGCCAUUUCCCCACCAUCUUCUCCACCAACCCCAACCUCCUGCUGAUGGAGCGCGCCAGCACCCGGGACCGCUGGCUGCACAAGCCCAGCUACACUCGCUUCAACCUGGACAGCCAUCGCUCCACAGAGCUUACGAAUUUCUACCAGAUGGUCCAGCAGCAUCGGAAGUACUAUCAAGACAAGACGGGCACAGUGCCUCGAGUCCCCUACUUUGCGAUGCCCGUGAGGGAGCCGGAACGGUACCCCCUCCCCACCGUCCUGUGAGUGCCUGCCCUCCCUUCAUCUACGCAGUCAAGAAACGCACCCAUGGGGCACCUGCUCUCGGCCAGGCAUGCACAGCACACAGACUGAGAAAUGAGUUGAGGAUCUUGCCCUAAAACGUGCAGUGCAGAGAGUGAUGGUUACAGAGCAAGGGGGUCAGGGCAUUGGCAGCCUCAGGGGGGAUGGUGGUAGCCUGAAUGGGCGAAUCAGGAAGAGUGCUUUCCCGGCCAGAUGCACUGGGAGUUUGGGAGAAGCUCCGUAAGCUUAGUGGGCCUGAAUCUGCGGACUGAUGCCCCGCCUGCAAAGGCAGCCUGGCAGCUACACUAGUCCUAACGUGGGCGCCGAUGCAGAGCGCAGUAAGGAGCUGCUGCCCUCUGGUGGAUACAGAGGGCACUACACCGAGCAGGAAUCUCCCCCGGUCCCGUUCACAUUUGGAAAAUGUUCUCCUAAGGACUUUCUGUCCAUCUAACUAAAUAGGAAAGUUCCUUGCCUCCUGCCCCUCUCUGCUUUUAUCUAGGAGAGCUCCUUUCUCCAGGGAAGGCCCACUCUGCCCUGAAAGAUGACUUGGGUACUGUGGUUUCUGUGCUCUCUCCUUCCUGAAGCGCAGGCAGGGGGAUCAUUGGCUCACACGAGGUGUCCUGGAGUGGGGUAGGGUGGUGGGUGGUGCCUGGCCUGGGAGGUCAGUGGAUAGAGCUUGGGAUUUAGCUCCAUGCCAACCACUCCCGGCUUGCCUCAGAGUCCUAAGAUUCACCAUCAUCCUUACUGAUAAAACAGCAUCUGUUUUCAUAAGUUUAAUGGUUUUUAAAGAAACAGGCUUCACUGCAUCUAAAAGUUCCUUUUUGCAAGUCAGACAGGAUCAUUUUACAAAAAAGGGAACGUGAGGCUCAUUGAUCGCCUGGGGAACUUGUGCUGCGUGGCCUGGAUGGUUGGAGGCAGAGCUUGGAAAGGAAGCAGCAUCUCCCAUCACCACCUCUAGGACUCGGGGGCUCUCUCUAAUCUUGGAAUGGCUCUGAGCCAGUCCAUCCCUAGAGUAUAGUGGGACUCUCCUGGGGACAGGUAUCCUCUUGAGAUGGCUCUGGCCAGGAUCUGCCCCCCAUCCCCAUCACUGUGGGGAGAGCGGGACAUCUCAACUCUGUUCCUUCUUCAGGUUGCCUGGCCACUUGCACUGCUGCUGACAGUUUCACAACGAACGCAAAGGGCCAACCAGGUGGUUGGGAGAAGAGGGCCUCCUCUGUGCCCAAAGAAGAAGUGGCACCUUUUAAGACUAGCCCCCGAGAACCUGAAGACCUACCAGACCUUCCCAUCAGGGAAGAGGGUCUCUCCACAGGAGCGGAAAAAGAGAGACUGCUACUUUGAGUUCAGAGCAUGAGACUUUUAGUUCAGAGCAGAGCCUGAUGCCUGAGAUCCUGGGUCGUGACCAGCCUGGCUUGCUUGGAAUAAAAUCUUUAGCCAUGA